rnacentral:sRNA from 1 species
AUUUUUUUUUUAAAAAGCUCGGGUUGUUUCAAUUUGGUAUCAGAGCGCUGAUGGGAGGUUGGCUCAUUAAAACAACCCGACCCGUUUUUUUUUUAAACAUAAUUAAAUAUUCCCAUAAAUACUUAAUUAAACCAACCAAUAAAACAACAUUUAAAUCGUAAGUCAAAAAUACUAUUUAAUGAAUAAAUAAAUAAUUCAACCAAACAAAACCAAGUAUGACUAACAAUCCUAACACAACCCUAACCGGGUUCCAAUAACCAACAAAAAUAAAUCAAACGAGUUCCUAGAUCAUCCUCUCUUCCUUGCCAUGAUUCCACGAUCACACUUUAUCUUUACCUGCACCAAAAAGAAAGAGAUGCGUAAAUAUUAUCACAAAUACUUAGUGAGGCGAUCAUCCCAUUCUACGAGCAAUACACACAAGCAAUUAAAAGGAUAUAAUCACACAUACAUCAUAAACAAACCAAUCAUUGAACAAUUCACACAAAACACAUUCACCACAUCUACAUACCAUAACACAAAACAAAACAUACAACCCAUUCGCUCAAAUAAGCUCAUGGUCACGCACUCACCUUAACAAAUUGAUUCUAACAACAAUUAAACCCAGGAGAGACUCUCCUUGCGUCUAAAACAGUCCAGAAACGUCCUACAACAAGUCUCAACCAAAAGCAACAUUCAAACAAAUUGGACAUGAAAAACAGAAACAACCAGUCUCAAAGACGAAACCCUAAAAUACAAACUAACCAUUAACUAUUAAAUCCCUCUGGUGAAACACUAUCCUUAGACGUCACAAAAUUUCCCACAAAAACCCGUGCCGAUCGGAAAUCAGAUGAGACUACGAUCGCGGUUACAAUCCCUGCUGGUCCUAAUUCGCGUCUUAGAAAACAUGUCUCACGAAACUGCGAAUAACUUAACCAAUUUUAAUCCAAACCCAAUUUUGUAAACUGGAAAAAGCGAUAAAAGACUUGGGAAUAACCCUACCAAAUUUCGUUACCUUUGAAAACGAUUUGAUAUGUC